ensembl:lncRNA
UCAUUUCCAAAUGUGUUUGAAAAAAAUAUUUAAAUAAAUGUUCAUUAUCGAUUUUUUUUUUUAGUUUUUAGAAUAAAAAGCAAAAAAGGCCAAUUUAUAAGAAAGAAAUUACAAAAUUUGUAAAACAAUUAAAUGUAUUUACAUUAACAAAAACUUGUUAACAAGUUUAAUGAAAAAAUUCACUUUUUUGGAGGCAAAAAAGGUAAAUUUAAAAGAGAAAACAAACAGAUUUAUGAGAAAAAUAGGGUCAAAGUUCCAGGAGAAAAUUAGCAAAUUUAUAAUAACCUUGGAAUAAAUAAAAGUUGAGAAAAAAAUGCAAACAACAAAAAGUGUGCAAAUGUGCAAAUUUACCGAAAAGAAAACUGAGAAGUUUGCAAGGAACACUAAAUUAUACUAAUGUAUUGGCUCAUUUCCAAUAGAUUUCCAAGUUUAUAAGAAUAUAUUGCACUUCAUAACCCAAUAAAGCUUUAUACCUCUGUGUGACGAGUAAAAUGGGUUUUAUUUAAAUUGUUUAAGGGCACAGGAGACAAGGAACAGUCUAAAAAAGCAGAGGAUGAGGCAGAUGGUGAUGAAGAUGGAGAUGGAGGAGGUGAAGAAGAAGAGGACAGAAAGAAAGAAGCAGCAGAGGGAGACAAAGGAGGAAAAGAGAAGGAGGAAGAAGAAGAGAAGAAGGAGGAGGAGAAGUAAGCCUGAGAGACAUAAUCGCAUUUCAAAAUGACGUACAGCUGUUUAUCUGUACAGGACUAAUGGUUAUAUGUGUUGUUGCUGUGACAACGAACACUUGUAACAAGCAACAAAAAGAAGAAAAGAGGAGGUGGACAGCGUCUCUGACCCCAAUGUGAGGUACUUUUUUGCUUCAGAUUGAAAAUAUAAACAUUUGCUGAUCUGCUGAGCGCUCAGUUUUAUUUACAUGCUGCAGAUGUUUCAAUGUUAAUCCGCCAACAGCUGGAGGCUCCAAGCACUGCUGCCCUGUAUGACAUCACAAGCAAAACCAUAUAAUGGUUAAGAUGGAUUCAACCAGGUGGCCUGCACUAUCAGAGUGACUUACGAUCAGAGUAACAUCUUUAUUAUAAUUUAUUAGCUUUUUUUGGUUCGUUGUUGUAACACUAACAGGUUUUGUCUGGGAGUGGUAGCCACAGCUUUCCUGCAGCUGUCCAUCUGAAACUCACAGCCCACCAGUGAAAGGAGCAAAAACAAGUCGCCAGUGUUGAAUUGUCUGUGGAAAAGUUUAUUUUGUUUGUAUUCGGGCCAUUGAAAGAAAAAAAAUGAAAGGCCCUAGUUGUGUGAUGUAAAAUUCAGGAAAAAAAAAGUCUUAAACUUAAAGUUGUAAAUUUUCAACUUCAUGAAAAAAUAUGACAAAUUUACAAUAAAAACAUCAUUAACACAUAAUACAUGUUUUUAGAAAACAGCACUUAUUUUCAAUCAGAUAACAAAUUAUGAGCUUAUUUUCAUUAGAACGAGUCCUGCAGUAAAACACAGGCCACUACAUGCAGCUGGCUGUGAGGUGUGUGCAACACGUGAUUUAAAAAAAACAACAAAAAAAACAACAUACAUAUUCAAUAUUAACUUUGCUCGCAUGAAAUUAGCUUUCUUAUAAGAUGUGAUUUUUUUUAUUUUUUUCUCUCUUAACUAAAAAAAAUCAGCUUUUUUCUGGCCCACGUUUGGCCCUCUGGUUGCUCAGUUCUGGCAUUUGGCAAUCACCACAUAUGGCCCAGAGGUCAUCAACACAGCUGGCAGCUGGCACAUGUAUGGUGGACCUGGGCAGCCACUGAGUCACAGGCAGAUGUGGGCCACACAUCUGGGUUAUAUUUUGCAUAUUUGAACCGGCAGAUGUUUUGCUACUUUAGCCUUAAAAAAUACAAAAAUGUGCUCAUUUCCUGUUGUUUUAGUCACAGCUCUGCCUGCAAGUCCAACAAAAAGCUAGUAAGCAGUUCUUGAGUUCAGCUUGAUGAAAUUUGUGGCAGCAGAUCAGCUGGUGAAGCUAAAACCAGAGCGAAAGCUUUCCUGGAUGUGGAGCACAGAAGCUGCUUUCCUUCCUGCAAAAGGGAAGAGCCGCUUAGUGGGCGGGGCUUCCACAUCACAUCACUGAGUGUAAUCGUUGCGUUCUGACUGCGUGUGAUCUUUCAGAAGCCGACUGCAUCUCCCAGAAGACACUGCUGUGAGUCUUUAGUGAAUUCUUGAUGGCAGUGUUGUGAAUAUGCUAAAAACUCUGAUUUCACGACCCCGGAGGAUUCUGGGUAUUAGAGUAUUUAGAGACAUUCAGUAACCGACAGCACUCUGACUUUCUGUUGCACUUUCCUUCUUUUUCUUUCACUCUUUUUUGCUGAGGUUGAGUUUCAUUGUUUGCCGAUCUUUUCUAAGUAAGUGUGAAGGCCUCGCAGACCGAUUGAUUUUUUUCUUGUACAGCAGCUUUUUAAUCUGUUGCUUUAUUUUUGAAAAAAUAUUUACAUAUUUUGAUAGUUUUGUCCGUCUGUUCUCUCCAGCCGUCUCUAUGUUUCUGUUAUUACACCGUCAGCUAAAUACCUUUGAAUGUUGAAUGACACAAGAUUUUCAAAAGAUUUUCCUGCAAGUUCACUUUGCUGACAUAAUAAUACGUUGUUGCUAUCCUUAUACUUACUUCCUGGUACACUUGCAGUAUAGUGGUUGUCCAUAAUAAAUCACAGAGAAAACCAAAUUAUUUGUCAGUAACUGCAUUAAAAAUGCCUGUAUCAGUUGUGCAGGUCAUGGUAGUCUUGAGUGCUUAAAAAUAAAGUAGUUGACAGUACUUGUCUUAGACAGGUGCCACCUUUUGGCCUCAGUGACGGUAAUGACACACGCCAUUUCUCAUAAUUUGAACUGGAAAAGCCUCCUGGAUGAAAAAUGAAAAGUCUAAAGAAACCUAAAGAAGUCCCCGUUGCCCUUUUUUUAACCACUCAAGUCUGCAUUAAAAAAGCUCCAAUUAGCCAAGGUGAUGGUUGCGCAGUUGUUAUGAAGGUUGAAAAAACUUGACAGAGUGAAACGGUUUUCUUGUAUCAGGCUGCAAAACAUGUUUAUUUCUGCUGUAAAAUUGGACAUUUAACAUGAGAGUCUGGGGGAGAGUGACUUGCUUUUGGAUCCUCAAGUGGACAUUAGAGGAACUGCAGUUUUGGUAUUUAAGCACUGGCUUCCUGGAGUUACCAGGGGUCAUCACUUGGUAUGUCAUCAUGAAUGUUUAAGUUGGCACUCUGUUUUUGUUAGAUUACCAGUGUUUAAAACGCCCAAAUAUAUGAGCUCAUUGUGGUUUAAGAAGUCAAUGAGGUUGUUCUUAUGCUACUUUCUGGUACAUCUGGAAUUCUUUGAUAAAUCUUACAUACAUUCUCUGAUGCAGAAAUCAAUUGGGCUUAUCAUCAUGUUUGUGUGCAAAACUGCCAAUUAUCAGUUUGGCAGAACUUACUGCAUUUAAAUCAGAAGUAUUAUGCGAUAUUCAGUGGCAGCUGUUUAAAACCAAACAAAUGACCAAGACUGGUUGUGAUGACAUGUUGCCCGUACCUCGCGGUGGUCACUUGUUGGUGUUUAUUUACUAUUUUAAGACUGCUACACUCAACUUUAUGGUAGCUUUUUGCCAUACAAUUCAACAUUAAGUAAUUAGUAAAAUGUGCUUAGUCAUAGUCAUCAAACAGGCUUUUGGCGUCACCUUAUGAUGGUAGGGGUGCAUUAAAAAAGUUGUGUAAAAUACUUUUUCCCCCUUUCUUUUCUUACAAUUUCUCUUAGAGCUGACAGUUGAAAAGUCGUGACCUUUAAUUUUUAGUUUCCUUGUUUAAAGAAGGCUUGUUUGGGCUUUGUGACAGAUAGCACAUGGUCCUUGUCCAGGAUUUUAACCUGUCAUCCAACAGCUACUGGAUCACUCCGGUGACCUGUUGAUAUGAUUGUGCAUUGUUUAAAGAAACGUGAUGACUGUGGCAGUGAAUUUCAUACAACUGACAGGAAGUAUGGACAGAACUAUCAAAAUAAGAGUCUAACUGUGUAAAAUAAAGUAAAAUUUGUGUGAUUUUUGCCCAUGUUUGAUCUGAGAUUGUGGACAUUUCUCCAUCAGUAAAUUUUGUUUGCAAAAAUCAAAUGAUCCCACCUGGUUCCUUUUUUUUGGUGGGAGGUUCCUGUACAUAGAAAUGUGGGUGAAUUAUCCCAAAACUAUUUUGUAUUUUUCUAUUUAUUUCUUCCUUUGUAAAGUCUUCUAAUAGGCCACAGGCAUGUGCUAAAACAAAAAAUGGACAAAUGAUGAGAAAUUUCUCUUUCCAUCCUUCUUCUUAAAUCCUCGCUUCUCCUGUUUGUAAAGGUGCAUUCACGUGCAGUCGUAAUAAUAGGAAAAAACACAUCAUGUUUCUGUACCUCAGCAGCCUCUGUCAAAGUUGGUGAGAAACUCUGAAUGUUUUUAAGUUGAGUUUCCAGCUGCUAAAGUUGAACCCACAGACUGUUUGAGAGCCUUGUGACUCUUUUUUUCUUUCAAGAUAAGGACACAGUAUGAUAUACAGUGUAGUGAUAAUACACACACAUUAUAGGUACUUAUCAGUGCUGUGUAUUUACCUGUUUUCUGUGUAUUCCUGGUCUUUUGUUGCUGUAUAAAGCUCUUUAGACCAACCCACGGUGUUGAAAACACCUGUUUUAAUAAUAAAGUUUCUUCUUUUUUGACUAAGA